AUUUGUGUUUGACGAAUGACUGUUUUGUAUGACGUCUUGUCGAGAAAUUCUGGGCUAUAAAUUCCCUCUCUCUUUCCUCACUUUAAACCAUCACCACCAGCUCCUGGACAGCUUGUCAAGGUAACAAGGUCAACACAUGGCCAGUAUGGGGAUGCCAAGAAGAGUAUUACUGUUUCUGAUUUUGCAGCUCAUUACAAGAGGAUCAGCGGUGAAUGAAACAAGUUAUUUUACGACACCUGAACCUGAUGGUUCUGGAAUGGAGCCAACAACAAUCGCCUUUGAAACAACUACCGGUGUCAUGGGUAGAACGACAGAG